rnacentral:rRNA from 1 species
AAUGAACGCUGGCGGCAGGCCUAACACAUGCAAGUCGAACGAGUGGCGGACGGGUGAGUAAUGGAUGGAAAACUGCCUGAUGGAGGGGGAUAAUAACUGGAACCGGUAGCUAAUACUGCAUACCAUGAGAUGUGCCGAGGGGGGUUUAGCUAGUGGGGGGGGGAACGGCUCACCAAGGCGACGAGCCAUAGCUGGUCUGAGAGGAUGGCCAGUCACACUGGAACGGAGACACGGUCCAGACUCCUACGGGAGGAGGCAGUGGGGAAGAUUGCACAAUGGACGGAGGCCUGAUGCAGCCAAGCCGCGUGGAUGAAGAAGGCCUUCGGGUUGUAAAGGUCUUUUUGUUGGGAAGCGUUAUCCACAGAAGAAGCACCGGCUAACUCCGUGCCAGCAGCCGCGGUAAUAC